rnacentral:tRNA from 1 species
GCCCAGAUGGCGGAAUUGGUAGACGCGCUGGUCUCAAACACCAGUAGGUUCACCCCUGUGCCGGUUCGAUCCCGGCUCUGGGUACGA